rnacentral:rRNA from 1 species
GACAUCCCGGAGACCCUUAGGAACUAGGGGUGGCUUCCAUCUGGAAGAAUCUGGAGACAGGUGCUGCAUGGCUGUCGUCAGCUCGUGUCGUGAGAUGUUCGGGUUAAGUCCCGCAACGAGCGCAACCCUUGCCUUUAGUUGCCAGCAGUUCGGCUGGGCACUCUAAAGGGACUGCCGGUGUUAAACCGGAGGAAGUGGGGAUGACGUCAAGUCCUCAUGGCCUUUAUGACCAGGGCUACACACGUACUACAAUGGCCGAUACAAAGGGCAGCGACACUGCGAGGUGAAGCCAAUCCCGUAAAAUCGGUCUCAGUCCGGAUUGGAGUCUGCAACUCGACUCCAUGAAGUUGGAAUCGCUAGUAAUCGUGGAUCAGCAUGCCACGGUGAAUACGUUCCCGGGCCUU